rnacentral:rRNA from 1 species
GACGAACGCUGGCGGCGUGCUUAACACAUGCAAGUCGAACGAAGAGCGAUGGGAGCUUGCUUCUAUCAAUCUUAGUGGCGAACGGGUGAGUAACGCGUAAUCAACCUGCCCUUCAGAGGGGGACAACAGUUGGAAACGACUGCUAAUACCGCAUACGAUCCAAUCUCGGCAUCGGGACUGGAUGAAAGGUGGCCUCUAUUUAUAAGCUAUCACUGAAGGAGGGGAUUGCGUCUGAUUAGCUAGUUGGAGGGGUAACGGCCCACCAAGGCGAUGAUCAGUAGCCGGUCUGAGAGGAUGAACGGCCACAUUGGGACUGAGACACGGCCCAGACUCCUACGGGAGGCAGCAGUGGGGAAUCUUCCGCAAUGGACGAAAGUCUGACGGAGCAACGCCGCGUGAGUGAUGACGGCCUUCGGGUUGUAAAGCUCUGUUAAUCGGGACGAAUGGUUCUUGUGCGAAUAGUGCGAGGAUUUGACGGUACCGGAAUAGAAAGCCACGGCUAACUACGU